rnacentral:misc_RNA from 1 species
GGAAUCUGUUGGUAUGACCAUCUUGUCCGAAUGUAGCCUUUCUCAACGGCUACUCUGCAGUGAAGCCAGAUUUUAAAAUCUCUUCUUGGAUGUCUCGCCAUGACCAAACUUCAAUCCUAGAGUACCUAACCUCUACGCGCUCCUUCUCUAAACCCCUUCCCAGCCUCUCUACGCAAUGGACGGUUCUGAGUCUUUGCACAUAGAUUACCAAGAAGAGAAUGGAGACGAGUUCUACGAGAAGAUCGAGGCCCCCAAGUUUGUGGACCUCACCGCACCCGAUCCCUACAACCCCGGCGAUGAUCGCUACUGGUUCUGCUUGCGAGUUGGUUGCGAACAAAAGCAUGAAGAGGAAAUGGAUUCUGAAGCAAUCUACAAAAAUUUUGUUCUUCGGGUUAGUUACAAGUUCUACAUUAUACUCUUCUUCUCCAUAUCAGUUUAUGUAACAGACCAAUUUAGAAUUUGGGUGUUAAGCUGUCGAGCCCUGCAGGUCAUGGCUGCAAGAAGUCCCAAUGUUCGUCUUCGAAAAGCACUGUAUAGAAAGGAUUCAGGGUGAGUUCACAAAGCUUUUCAGUGACUACAAUUCAGGUGUUUCUUCUCUUAUAGCUGUAGCUGAGCACAUACCAACACCAUUUCUAUGCAGUAGUACCCAACUGAAAUGUCCACGGACAGUUCCUGCAAAACCUUCGAGGUCUAGAGUAUCAAGAAUUGCCCUGAUUUCUUCGAUAUCUAAAAGGAUAGUUGAUCCUAAAGUGAAAGUGAAGCCCCUCUGUAAGCAAAGUGCAACACCAAAUGCAAAGACAAAGCAAUCUUCUUCUAUAGCCAAGGCUUUAACUACUCCACGGAUCAAAAAGCAGCUAGCAAAUCCAGAUGCAUUCCGGAGUGUUAAGAACCCAAAAAUAACAUCCAUCGCAGUGCCAAAGAAUCGAGUAGUAGCGAAGACACUGAUUUUUCAUUCACCUAAGAAGUCGGUGAGAACAAAUAGUUCAUUAGAAUUGAAUACACCUGUAAAGACAUUGUGUGCUGGGAUGAAGAAGCUUGAGAUCACUACUUCAAAGAAGCAAGUGUUGGGAUAUCAUCGGCCAUUGCCUCCAGAUUCUGCUAAAAAACAAUUGAGAGGAAGAGAAGUUAAAAGCAGAGUUUUUGAUGGUCUAUGUUCUCAAAAUCACAAGGGCCUGGAAGCCAAAUCUUCUAAAUGUGUGAAGAAAAGUAAUAAGGAAAAGAACUUACUGGCGUACCAUGAUUCUGUGUCUCAUGAAAGGGAUGAAAAUGAUUUCAGUGAUAAGGAGAUUGAGAAGAAAAAGAAGAAUGGUUCACAGGGAGUAUGCUCUACUUCUAAGAGCGAUGAAGGAAAUGUAAAUGAAGAGCCUUCAAUGGAUGAGAAUAAAGUUGGAGUUCCAUCAGAUGCCACCAGCAGUGAUACAAAAUCCCUGUCAAAUUCUGAAUGGAGGAGCUCUGAGGAUGAUGAUAAAAGGCAUACUUCAACUUCUCAUGACAAGGAAAAUGAUAAUGAAGUCAUGGAGAAUGAUGAUAAGGAGAAUGCAUCAGCCUCUGAUGAUAACAGAGAAUUGGGUCUAAAGAAUACUCAUAUAGAACAUGAAUUUCAUGGCAAGCAUGAGACACCGAAGGGCAGUCAAAAGAGCACUGAAGCAAAAAGUAAGCUAUCUAAAGAAAGCUCCACCACUGCUCAAAGGCUGAAGCAUAAAAAACCUAAGCCUACAAAUCCAAAGCCUUUCAGGCUAAGAACUGAUGAAAGGGGAAUUCUCAAGGAAACAAAUCUGGAAAAGAAACUCUAUCCUGCACCUCCUAGUGAAAUCUCACCAGUCUCAAGGGUAACAGGAGGAAACUCGCAGAAAAAACAUCAGAAUGCACCCCAAAAAAAUGAAAAGUGCCGCGAGCAAACUGAGAAUCACUUCAGCGCAUACGAAGGCAUCAAAAAGGAAACAAAUAGAGCACAUAGGGAUCAGUCUAAGGAAACAAGGUUGAUGAUUUUGAAAGAGAGAGCAGGGCGAAAAAUAUCUUCAACAACUCCGCAGAGGCAUACAAUUUCCUCUCAGAGGAAGCUUGUGGCUUCAAAGCAGGGAUGUAGCCAGGAUAAAUCAAGUAUAAAAUUGGGAAACAGCUUGAGAAGGACCAAAUCACCAUCCAUGAGACAACUUACGAGGCCUCAAGAGGCAGCAUUAGGUAGAAAGGAAUCCAUUAUGAUAACAACUGGUCAACUAGGCACAAUAAAGGAAACCUCCCCAACAAUUUUAAAUGCCAAGGAAGCUGCAAAGCCAACCAAAAGUGGUUCUGGUGCUUCCCUGGCGGCCAAAGGUUCGGUUUAUCGUGCUUCCAGGCCCUCAUUACAGGGGAAAAGGUUCAAAACCCUUCCCAAGGAACCAAACUUUCAUACCAUUCACGUGCCAAAGAGCUGCACCAGGAAAGUAGCUUAAGCGUGUUAGAGUGUACCAUAUCUCUGUUGUGUUCAAUUGAUUCAUUGAAUUAUAUCUUCUUUCCAGCAAAUUCUGUGUUGUUGUCUAGAAAUUCUUUUAUCAAGCCACAAGAGAAAAUCUUUAGUCCAUUUUUUCUCGCAAUUGUUUAUAACAUUCAUGAUGAUUUGUAUUCUUUGUAAACAGAAGAGAGGUUUGCCGUUAUUCAUACUUCAUUGCUC